GCCAGAAACAGCAACCCUUCUGGGUCCCCUUCCACCACGCAGAAGCUUUACUUUCGCUUUCACUUUACUUUUGCUUUCACUUUAACAAAUCUUGCAGCCGCACACUCUUUGGGUCCGCCCGUUUCUCUAAUCAAGUUGUAACACUCGCUGCUGUGGUCCACAGCUUCAUUCCUUGAAGCCCGUGAGACACGAACGCUUCCAUUGAGAAAAACCUUCCAUCAGAAGAAGACUUCUCGUCUCAGUGGGACUGCUGAGUUGAAUGAGACGAGGUUUCACCAUGUUACCCAAGCUGAUCUCGAACUCCUGGGUUCAUGCGAUCCACCUGACUCAGCCUCACAAAGUGGUAGGACUACAGAAAAUGAACAGGACUAUUCUUCCUCAAACAAAGAGAUCGUGUGAUGAAGACUCACCAGAGCUGUUCUCUAUAAGCUUGAAGAGCAAUGGUAUCAGGUGCUUUUUUUUCUGAAGCUUUGGUAGUGUAACUGUAAGAGUCCUGGAAUUGGAAAAGCAAAUCCAGAAGUUGAGUUCCAUGACUUUUUUGCUGUUUGCCUUUGGACUUGCAUCAUUUAUAUUUUUAAUUCAUCGAGGAUGAGAAAAUUGAUUAACACAAAAUCUUUUCAUGUCUUUUCUGAUGAGAGACUAGCUGAAUCCAAGAAGAGAAGCCCUUGAAGAGUGUAUUCUAUUCUAGACAAGCAUUCACACAUUGGCUUCUUUGGUGCCAGGUAAUUAGAAUUUGUAAUUUGGUCUUAAUUAAACUGCAGACUACCCAAAGGCCUUGAUCAGUGGCCUUUUGACUGCCUCCACCGUUUGGAGGAAACAAACAAAACACAAAUUAGCCUUUAAAAAUAUGCCCAUUGAUUUCUCCUCAUCUCCCCAAACAUAUACAACCCCACCAGAUAUAUAUUUAUAUUGGCUAUAAAAAUAUGCCCAUUGAUUUCUCCUCAUCUCCCCAAACAUAUACAACCCCACCAGAUAUAUAUUUAUAUUGGGUAUAAUGUCAACAUAUAUCAAAUGUGCCAAUUAAACACAGAGCUCCUCUAAACUACCAAGCAUGUUAUUAUUAUUAUUUUAAUUUUUAAAACAUUUCUAACUUAACAGAAACAUUGGCCGGGCAGCACUAAUUGUAUCAUUCCUAUGUACUACCAACUUCUCACCAGUAUUGAACUUGAUCUUCAAAACUCUUCCCAGAUAGGGCUAUUUUUCCACUGACUCUAUUGUUAUUCCUUCCCAUUUUCCCUCCUCUGUUUUUGAUGCUUUUUAUUUUGGUUAGCAUGUUUCUGAUCAGCAUGAAAACUGCGCAGGAGCUUUUCUGUCUUGCAGAGCUAGUUAAUGAGAUUGUUGCUGCCUUCAGAUUCUAUAAAGGACUUCUCCAAUAUUGGAUUAAAGAAUGAAGAAAGGAUCAAAUUGAGACAUCCAGGGGGGAAGAGUUCCCUGGCAAAACUCCAAUCUGCCUGAGCACUGAGGUGGAGCCACAGAAGUCCGGGUCAUUUGCACCUGGGAGGAGCCUGGCCCCUCCUCUUCCUGUGUGGAAUCUGGGAUUUAAUCUGUGAGGAGGGAAGGCCAAGGGCAGGAAGCACAGGCUCUCACUUCACUAAGAGUCUCUGUUUCCCCUUUUUUUCCUUUAUGCCUAAUUAAUAAAUCCCAUUUUUCUCACUCUUCAAAUAGUCUUCAAGCCUAAAUUUUCAUGACCAUGGAACAAGGACCCCAUCUUUAGCUGAACUAAGGAAAAGUCCUGCAACAAAAUUCUUUGCUAAAAAUACAUGAGGUUGCCUUUUCCUUCUUAAUCUUAAAAGAAAUAUAUUUCAAUGGUUAACGUUUUAGUAAUUCAAAAAUUAUCAAGCAUUUGUUCACAACCAUAAGAUGUGCAUUGUUUUAUAUUCCUACUUAAUAAUAGACUAUAAUUGUCUAAUUAGACUGCCGAUGUUGAUCUUUGUGGCUCAUUGCAUUGAUUAUAAGCAGUGUUUUGGGUUUGUGUGUGUGUGUCAAAUUUAGGGUUUUUUUGGUAUGGCUGCUGGUUGGUGUAGCCUGUAUCCAGUAUCCUGUAUUAAUUCUAAUAUUUGCAUUUUGAACAUAUUUACAAGUUGCUAAAAUAGCAAAGCUUCGAGAUGAGCCUGGCUGAUAUGGCAAAACCCCGUCUCUACUAAAAAUACAAAAAUUAGCCUGGUGUGGUGGUGCAUGCCUGUAAUCCCAGCUACUUGGAAGUCUGAGGCAGGAGAAUCUCUUGAACCCAGAAGGUGGAGGUUGCAGUGGGCCAAGAUCGCACCACUGCACUCCAGCCUCGGUGAUAGAGCGAGACUACGUCUCAAAAAUAAAAUAAAAUAAAAUAAAAUAAAAAUAGCAAAGCUAUGUAUGGUUUCUCUGAGUUUUGUAAUUUAUCAUUGUUAACUGCAGAAAUUUAUUAUAUGAGACAUAUUAUAUGAGACAUAUAAGUGAAUUUGGAUUGGGUUUAAUUUUAUAUUUUUGAAUAUAGUUCUUCAAGAUAAAUUUUAUCUUAGACCUCAAGAAAUAAAAAUAAAAUAAAUUAGAUAUACAAACGA
rnacentral:lncRNA from 10 species